rnacentral:rRNA from 1 species
CUCGUAGGCCGCUCUGUAAGUCGGAAGUGAAAGACCACGGCUCAACCGUGGAACCGCUUUCGAAACUGCGGAGCUUGAGGCCGGGAGAGGAGAUUGGAAUUCCUGGUGUAGCGGUGAAAUGCGUAGAUAUCAGGAGGAACACCCGUGGCGAAGGCGAAUCUCUGGGCCGGUUCUGACGCUGAUGAGCGAAAGCUAGGGAGCAAACA